UGAUUUUUUACUAAUCUUUUGUCAGUUGUAUAUUUUCAGGGGUUCAGAUGAGGGACGACGACAGAAGAGGACUUUGGCCGGCCAAAAGAAGAAGAGGACUGCAUUGCCCAGCUAUGAGCAGAAACCAACAUUGGCCAGAGUGGAGGAUGCCUGGAUCCCAAUGUUAGGAACAACUUCCUUGUUUGUCAAGAGGAGGGUGGGGAGCAGGGCGAGGAAUUUACUGCACGCAAGCAGAGAAGAAAAGUAGGCGGUUAGGAUGAACUGCAGCCCCUGGUGUGGACCAACCUUGCCUCCCAAUCAGCUGCAGUCAUCGUUGGAAGAUGCGGAUGCAGAAGAGAAGGACCCAUCCCAAGGAGCUGAAGAGAAGGACCUAGGCCAAGGAGCAAAGGAGAAGGACACAUCCCAAGGAACAGAAGAGAUGGACCAAUCCUAAUGAGCAGAAGAGAAGGACCCAUCUUAUGGAGCAGAAGAGAAAGAACCAUCCUAAGGAGCAGAAGGGAAUGACCCAUCCCAGGGAGCACAAUAGAGUACCUAUCUCAAAGAUCAGAAGAGAAGGACCCAUCCCGAAGAGCAGAAGAGAAGGACCCAUCCCAAGGAGCAAAAGAGGACCCAGUUCAUCAGCUGCAGAUGGGUUAGGUGCAGCGAAUUUAAUGUGGUAUAAUGGAC